rnacentral:rRNA from 1 species
CUCANGACGAACGCUGGCGGUGCAUCUAAGGCAUGCAAGUCGAACGGUACCGAUUAGCUUCGGCUUAUCGGAAGAGUGGCAGACGGCUGAGUAACGCGUAAGUGACCUGCCCCGAAGAGGGGGAUAAUCCGGAGAAAUCCGGCCUAAUACCCCGUACGCUCCGAUGGUUACGGUCAUCAGAGGAAAGGUUUUCGCUUCGGCGGACUCCGCUUUGGGAGGGGCUUGCGUCCUAUCAGGUAGUUGGUGGGGUAACGGCCUACCAAGCCGAACACGGGUAACCGGUGUGAGAGCAUGAUCGGUCAGAGGGGGACUGAGACACGGCCCCCACUCCUACGGGAGGCAGCAGCUGGGAAUCUUGCGCAAUGGGCGAAAGCCUGACGCAGUGACACCGCGUGGGGGAAGAAGGCUUUAGGGUCGUAAACCCCUUUUCUUGGGGAAGAGUAAGGACGGUACCCAAGGAAUAAGCAUCGGCUAACUACGUGCCAGCAGCCGCGGUAAUACGUAGGAUGCGAGCGUUGUCCGGAUUUACUGGGCGUAAAGGGCGAGUAGGCGGCUUGUCAAGUCUCAUGUGAAAUCUCCCGGCUUAACCGGGAGGGGUCAUGGGAAACUGGCAAGCUUGAGGUCAGCAGAGGAAAGUGGAAUUCCCGGAGUAGCGGUGAAAUGCGUAGAUACCGGGAGGAACACCCGAGGCGAAAGCGACUUUCUGGGCUGCACCUGACGCUGAGGCGCGAAAGCAUGGGGAGCGAACCGGAUUAGAUACCCGGGUAGUCCAUGCCCUAAACGAUGGAUACUAGGUAUGGGGGGUAUCGACCCCCUCCGUGUCGAAGCUUACGCGAUAAGUAUCCCGCCUGGGGAGUACGGCCGCAAGGCUAAAACU